AAAUUUAUGAGUUACAGAGGAUGUGCUUUUAGGUGUGUGGGGGUGCGGGCGCGUGUGUGCGGACACUAACCCAGCUGCGCUGCAGCUCACAGAGCUGCACCUUUGUCCCAUAAUGCAGUGGGGCGCCCCUUUUAACUACUGCCAGUUCUUAUCGCAGCAACACAUCAGAGGGUAUGCUGCCUUCCUCUGACAAGAAGAACCACGGGGUUUGGCCGGCAGACUGCAGCAGCGUAGGUGGAGGGGAAACUCACGCUGCCGGUCAGACCUGUUGGUAAAGCCCAGGUCAAAGCAGUGCAUGGAGCGCGGCGGUGACAAACUACGUGAUUUACUGUCUCAUGUGCAGCGAAGGUGUGUUUGAGUCACUUUGAUUCCUUGAACGUACGACCCAACUUUACCGAACUGUUCGCUCCGGUGAAAAGCAGUUCUAUAUGUUUUGUUUUGUUGUUUUCAAUCACUCUUUUCGAAGUUCUGAAUAUUUAGAGGGUAUAUUUAGGGAAGCUUCAAGAAAGUUUAUAAAGGUGUCCAUAUUGGAAGCGACUAAUAAUCUUUGAGUGACACUCCAAAGCAGAAUGUUAGGGGCUUAUUGGAUAUGUUGCUCUGGCAGAACUGAUAAAUGAUCAAUUAUUUGUUGCUUUGAAGUGCGAGAGUCGUACUAGGUGAAUUAGAAAAACUGUUCUGAUGAGGUGUACACAUUUUCAAAAGUACUUUUAAAAUAUUUUUCAACAUUUAUACAUUAAAAAUGUUCUCAUUACUGGUCUAAUUCUAGUUAAAAAAAUGCCAUGUCUUCCUAAUUUUGAGCAGAAAAUAAUCAUAGUUAACAUAAAUAAAGGCUUAAAAAUAGUCUGUGGCUAGUUAAUCUAUAUACUGUACUUAAUAUUGUAAGCUGAGUUACUGAAUUAAAUGACCUUUUCAGUAAGUGAAUGGGUUAGUGAAAACUCCUUUCAUACUCAAUGAGGCCUAGCAUCUCUAAUUGUGAAAUAGUCUGUUGUUAUUAUUUUACCAUUAUAUUAUCGUCAUUGUUUGGCAGCAAACAAUGACGAUUAAAUCCAAAUUGAGAAUCCGUGGUAAGAUUUGAAAACUGACGUUCAAAAAGUGUCUCCAUGCUUCUGUCUGGGCUUUCAUAAUAUUUCAUAAACAUGAUUUCCAGAAUGUGUAUGAAUUUCUGUCUGUAGAUAAUCAAAGCUGUUAGAAACAUACCUCAGGCUAGCAGUAGG